rnacentral:rRNA from 1 species
AUUCGCCCUUGGGGAAUUUUCCGCAAUGGGCGAAAGCCUGACGGAGCAAGACGCACGCGUGAGGGAGGAAGGCUCUUGGGUUGUAAACCUCUUUUCUCAGGGAAGAAGCUCUGACGGUACCUGAGGAAUCAGCCUCGGCUAACUCCGUGCCAGCAGCCGCGGUAAUACGGAGGAGGCAAGCGUUAUCCGGAAUUAUUGGGCGUAAAGCGUCCGCAGGUGGCGAUUCAAGUCUGCUGUCAAAGCACGGGGCUUAACUCCGUUAAGGCAGUGGAAACUGAAUAGCUAGAGUGCCGUAGGGGUAGAGGGAAUUCCCGGUGUAGCGGUGAAAUGCGUAGAGAUCGGGAAGAACAUCGGUGGCGAAAGCGCUCUACUGGACGGCAACUGACACUCAGGGACGAGAAAGGCUAGGGGAGCGAAUGGGAUUAGAUACCCCAGUAGUCAAGGG